UAAAUACUUUUAUGGUGCGUAUUGCUUUUUUGUUUUUACAUUUACUGAUCAUUUAAAAAUAAUAUUUCAAUUCGAUCUUAAAUAAAGUGAAAAGGGGUUUGUUCUCUGCCCACAUCAUUUUAUGGAUAAAUAAUCUUCUAUGAAAGAUAAACAAAUGAACAAUGAAAGUUAAAUCAGGGUCAAUAUCAUUUGGAUCAAAAUAAAAAAAUAUCAGAGUCUCUCAGAUUAACAUUAAUAGUCGUUUCUUUUCAAAUAGAAUCUUCUAACUCACUCCAAAAUCUUCUGACAUAAGAACAGUCCCAAAAUAAAUGGUCACGAGUUUCUGGGUCACAACCACAAAAUACACAUUUGUUAUCAAUAUCUAUUUUAAAUCUGUGUAUAAUAAAAGGUCUUUACAGGGUAGAUUCUAUGAAUGAGUUUGUAUGAUACUUCUUUCACCUUAUUAGAUAUACAAUAUUUACCAGAUAACAACGAAACUUUGUUCCAGUUCACUUGUCCUAGGGCUGCAUUCCAGUACAUUUUAGCAGAGGGAAUAGUAACAUAUUGACAUAGUUUCCUUAUAUAGAUGUUAUUACAUGUAUAGUUUAAAAUGUCAAUUCCUAGUUGUAUUGAGGCUACAAAAUCCUCAACAGUUGCACUUGGAGUACUGUUACAUUCUCCUAAAAGAAGAAUAGCACCUUUAGGGACAGCUCUAACAACAUUUUACUCCUCAGGAGUGAAUGUAACAUUGUGUGUUCUCAUAAAUUCUGGAUAAUGAUACAGUUGUCCAUCAUUAUUCAAUAAUUGUUUAACCCAAAUAAGGUUGUUGUCAAACCAGUUCUGGAAAAAUAAAGACUUGUUUUUGUAUUUUAUGUCUUUAGGUUGUAUACCUAUGUGGGGACAAAUUGUGUUUGUACAUGAGGUUCCAAGUUAGAAGUACUUGUUUAUGAAAGUUUGCAAGCUUAAUAGGGAUUUUACCCAUAUCAAAGUUGCAUUUGAGUAAGAAUUCUAGACCACCAAUCUGUUGGAAUAUUAAAUUAGGGAUGAUAUUCCAAAUGCAAUCCUUAUUUCUUAAAUAGUUUUGCAUCCAUUUAAUCUUAAAUAUUAUAUUAGAGGUUUUAAAAUCCAGAGCGUUCAACCCUCCCUCACUUUGGGUUCUACAUAUUACCGCUUUUCUUAAAUUAUGAGGUUUAUUCCUCCAUAUGAAGUUAAAUCAUUUAGUAUCAACCAUUUUAGUUACUGACAGAGGAACAUCCAAGGCAAGGGAGGUAUAAACUAAUCUGGACAGACCUUCAGAUUUUGACAAAAGUACACAUCCAGAUAAAGAAAGAUCUCUCAAUAACCAUGAGUUAAGUCUCUUUCCAAUUUUUUCUACAAUAGGAGAGAAAUUUAAGUUGGCCCUUUCUUUCUGAUCUUUGCUAACUUUAAUACCAAGAUAUGUGAUCAUAUCUUUUACAGGGAUAUUACAUUCUGAGUUUAAGUCACAUCUUUUCAACGCAAAUAAUUCACAUUUCCUAAUAUUCAGAGAUAAACCUGAUACACGUGAGAAGGCAUUAAAACACUCAAUAGCUUUCCUGACGUCAUUAUGAUCUUUCUAAAAAAUGGUGGUGUCGUCAGCCAAUUGUGAACAUUUUAUCUCUUUGUCUUGUAUCUGAAUACCUCUAAAACUAUCCUUAUUUAUAUGAAGUGCCAUAACUCGUGUGACCAAUAAAAAUAAGAAAGAAGAAAUUGGGCAUCCUUGUUAAAUUCCACGUCUAAUGUGGAAUCUCUGUGAAGUUCCAUGGGAUAAUUUAACAGAGCUUUUAUUGUUAUUGUAAAGUGUCUUAAUUCCACUUUGAAAAUAUUGACCGAAACGAAAAAAAUCGAAGAGUCUCAAAAACUGUAUCAAAAGCCUUGUAAAUGUCUACAAAUAAAAUAAAGCUAUCUUCCAUAAUGUGCUCAUUGUAGUCUAUCAAGUUCAAUACUAAUCGAAUAUUAUUACAUAUAUGUAUGCCCUUCAUAAAACCAGACUGGGUAUCAUCAAUGAUUUGGUCAAUACCUUUUUUAAGUCUUUCUAUAAAGAUGGAUGCAAGUAGCUUUCCAUCAUUGUUCAUUAAUGUGAUUGGUCUCCAAUUUUCUAACAUCAUAGAAUCUUUGUUUGGUUUGGGUAUUACAGAAAUGAGGCCUUGUGUCAUAGAAACAGGCAGGACCCCUAAAUCAAUUGCCUCCUUAUAAACAUGAAAUAUAAAUUCAAUAAUAUCCUCCUGAAAAUAUUUAUAGAAUUCACUGAUAAUGCCAUCAUUCCCUGUAGAUGUGUAACUUGCUGAUAAUUUUUAAAAAUUUCAUCACAAGACUUUUGGAAGUCUUCAUCUUCAUCAUGAAUUUUGCAUAGUCUUUGACAGAGUCUAGAAAGGCAGAUAUGUCACUAGUAGGACAGGCAUUACUGGUAUAAAGGUUACCAUAGAAUUCUGAAACAUAUUUUGAAAUAUCUUUGGGGUUUUCAUUUUUUUUGCCAUCUAUAUUAAGCUUAUGAAUAGAUGUAAAUUCAGAAUUUUUUCUUUCUAAAUUGUAAAAGUAUUUUGUAUUUUUUUUCACCUUCCUCCAACCAUCUCCUUCUUGAUCUUACAAAUGCCCCUUUCGCUCUCUCGUCAUACAUUCGGUCCAUUUCUAGUUGUAAAGAGAAUAACUGAGCCUUUCUUUCUUCGUCUCUAACCCUCCAUAGAGAUUAGAGCAAGUAUUUCCUUAACAAGUUCAUCUUCCCUCAAUCUUUUAAGUUCAGCAAUUUCUUUACCUCUCUUCAUGACUGUUUGUCUUAUUUCAUACUUCAUUCAUUCCCAAUAUUUCCCAUAAGACUUAAAUAGUUGGGCGUUCCACAAAUUGUCUUGUAUAAUAUCUUUGGCAUCCAUCUUGAAAUUAUCAUCUUCCAACAGUCUACUAUUGAGUUUUCAAUAACUCCGAUUCGGUUUAAUUUCAGAUCCAUUCACAUUUAAAGAUAUGCUACUGUAACUGUUAUUGCCGCUUUCUGUUUGUAUGUAGCUUGCACUUCAAUGGCAUUCCUCGAGGACAUUUUCUUUUAUCUUUCCAACCAGGCAAAGUACUAUGAAGACACCACUGAUCUCGACAAGAGGCACAACAUUCAGAGAAACGUAUAGCAGUUAACUUCAACUAGAUGGACGGAUUUAGCUAUGCACAACCACUUUUCAACAACCAUUUUCCAUCUAACAGUAGGCUAGUUGCUAACUAUACAUAUAGUACAGCGGAGUGGCUGCUGACGGGAGGAUGGCUCAUAAUAAUGUCUGGAAUGGAGUAUAUGGGAUGGUAUCAAACACGUGGUUUCCAUGUGGUUGAUACCAUUCAAUUGACUCCAUUCCAGCCAUUAUUAUGAGCCGUCCUCUCCUCAGCAGCGUCCACUGAUAUAGCUAUAUGUCUGUCAUAUUGAGGUGUCUAGCUAUACGUUAAACCUGAUCAAUCAAAUGGAUAUGUGUAAACUACAGCAGGUGUCUUUGCUAGAGAGACACAGAGGGGGGGGGAGAAAAUGAGAAAGGAUGAACGUGAGAGAGGGAGAGAGAGGUGGGAAGAGAGUGUAAGACAGACAGAGAGAGAUGGAAAGCAAAAAACAGAGAGAGAAAGACAGCAGUGCAAAUAUACUUAGACUUGAGUAUUUCAACAAGUUAGGCAAUCAUAUCUACCUACGGGGGAAGGAUGGCCAGCCACUCAGGAGGGUGAUUUUUACUAAGGAGGAGGAGGCCGUGCUGACUGAGAUGAAUGCUGGCAAUUUCGGAAUGAAGCCUAUGCUUCUUCUGACGGGAAAUUGUCAAGGUGGACAGCUGGGUAAGUGAAACAACCUUUAGUUUAUCAAUCACAUUCCAUUAUAUCUGAAAUGAUUAUGAUUUCAAUUAAUGUCAUAUCAGAGAGCACACAAUGUUUCAAUUUGUCCCUUUUUGCUUAAAGGUCAUUACACCCACGGUUCUCCUGAGGUCAUCUUGAGUGACCGAGAUUUACAUUUACAUUUAACAUUUACAUUUAAGUCUUUUAGCAGACGCUCUUAUCCAGAGCGACUUACAAAUUGGAAAGUUCAUACAUAUUCAUCCUGGUCCCCCCGUGGGUCAUGAACGCUGGAACAAGGUACAGAUGUUACAGGUUAUAUUCUGUCACCAAUGGUUUGUUUUACUUAUUUUUUACAAUUUGUUUUUCUGUGCUACAUAAUUAGACAUAUUUCAAAAUCUAACAUUGUCAAUAGAUAUCGCUUUCUUACCCCCUCCUCCAGGUUUGGUAAAUGGACCAACCAGACCCCUCAAGACUGCCAUGGGCAAGUCCCUUGAUGGGUACCAGGAAGGUUGAGAGAACAACCUGAAGGUAAUUCUCUUUACACACAACAGCAGCAUCCAGGCCUCCACCGAGUACGGACGGGAGCCGCAGUUGUUGACUGAGAUCACUGAAACCCCACCUGAUGUGGUGGAAGUUGUCGAACCAGAUGAGAACGUCUUCGAGUACUACCUUCAGGCACGGACUGAGAAGGAUGGAGGUUUUUGACCAGGACCUAGGGGGUUCUGCCCAGCACCCAGACGUGGGUCCAGGACCUGCCCAACACACAGACGUGGGUCCAGGACCUGCCCAACACCCAGACGUGGGUCCAGGACCUGCCCAACACCCAGACGUGGGUCCAGGACCUGCCCAACACCCAGACGUGGGUCCAGGACCUGCCCAACAGCCAGACGUGGGUCCAGGACCUGCCCAACACCCAGACGUGGGUCCACCUGAUGUCCUCCAUUACCCACCACCCUCCAACUUUUCAUUACAUCAUCUACAGCUACUGUUAUUGUCAUUAUCUGCUAAGAAAGUGUUCUUGCUCUGUCACACAUAAUAUGUGAGAUACACAGAUGAACUCAAAACACUCGCACUGCAAACACUCAGAACAAAGAAAGCAGCCGUGCCUGGACUUUCCAGUCUCCCUCUUCAAGUCCCCCUUCUGAGACUGGCUGCCUGUUGAGAACAAGUGACAGGCAGAAUUCCACACACCAGAAUUCCAUAUUUUAAUCUACGAUUGCCAUGUGAGUGCACAAAAAAUCUGUGAAAAUAAAUGAAUGGCACAACUGCACCAAAAACGAUCAACGUUGAUGCAUUCAAAUCUUAAAUAUUGCCAGGUUGGUUUUCACAGCUGUUUCACAAGGUGUUCACAAGGUGUAAGUUGUAAGGUGUCCUUUGAUGGUGUUUAUUUCUUCCACAUUAUUCAUUGUUGAUCCUAGUACCUUCAAUAGAUACAUAUAUGAGCCAAGCGAGAUAGAAAAAAAAUCAUAAUAGAGGACUACUGAAAUGAUAUUAUUUCAGUGUAGACAAGGGAAGGGCAGGUUAAAAUAAAAACAUGACAGCCAGACAAGCCGGUGUAUGAAUCAAACGGAUUUGCAAAUGAAUGGAGUGGAAAUUAGCUGACUUUGUGAUCUGUAAGGUGAGUAACUUAAAUGUGUCAAGCAGAUUACACGUUUUCUUUGCCAUUUCCGAAACGUAGCAAUGUUUAAGACAUGGACUUCAUGUUCUAAUGUUAACAAGGUACCCACAAGUAGUUCGAAUGAAUGUUUCCAUUUUAUUAGCUGAACAAAACUUGUUUAAACAGCGAAAUUGUCGCAGAAAUCAGCCUUGUUAUAACGACACAGGGCGAGACCCACAUGCAUACACAGGAGGCAGAUUGUUCGAGUCUGAUAUUUAUUAAAAUACAAGGGGCAAGCAAUAGGUAGGUCGAGGACAGACCGAAGUUCAUUAACCAGGUCAGAGUCCGAAAGGUACAGGGGGGCAGGCAGGCUCGAGGACAGGGCAGGAUGAAUGGUCAGGGCAGGCAGAACAGGUCGGAAACGGGAGGGCUAGAAAACAGACUUGGAAAAACAGGAGCAGGGAAAAACAUGCUGGCAGGCUUGACAAGACAAGACGAACUGGCAACAGACAAACAUAGCAAUGACGAAAAUAACGUAAUUUAGGCUGUAACGAUCUCCAAAAUUCGAAUACUUAGGUCAUCACACCGUUGAUAUAGCAACGGAAGGUAAUAGUUUAUCGAAUCCCAUUGUGACCUAUAGGGGGACACUAAUUGGCCAGGGGAUAUUAUUUAGCAUGACAGGCCCUACGUGACAUUUUGUUGCGAACAGAACAUUUUAGUGGCCCCCCCCUCUUGACAACGCAGA